GCGCGCGGCGGGGCGGCGGGGCGGCCGGAGGGGGGGGGGGGCGUCCGCGCGGGGGAGCGCCGAAACUUGGAGCCCGAGCUCCCGGGCUGGAGGCGAGCCGGCCUCGGGGACGUCACAGCGCUGGAAUCCGAGGAAUGCCGGGCGGCAGGAGCUCCGUGUGCAGGCCCGGGAGCAGUCGCGCACUUUUGGAGCGGUGGCUUGGGGAACUGUUUAAAGCCCUUUCUUAGGUUGAAAAGGGUCCCUGGAGUCGUUGUCACAGAAGAUGUCCCAGAUUGCUUCAGUGUCCCACAUCUCAUACAAAAAUCCGGAGCUCUCAGGGAAGAGAACUGGGAACUAAAAAGCAAAACCUAUUGUGCUCAUCAUGUACAAAUUUGUGGUGACUUGACUUCUCUGAGUAUUUGCCAACCGCCGGAACAGUGAAGUCAAGAAGCCCCCACACAGGGGCGGAAGGAAAAGGCUGAAGAAAAUUGAAGUCAGUUUCUCAAACUUUCAAGGAGAUAGCUGGAUGGCUUCAGUAUGGACUUGCUAGAUUUCCAAAGAAAAUUUCCGAAUGCUUUGCUGUGCUCCAGGAAGUAUGAAAAGCACUGUAUGUGCCCCCGUGUGAUUACCCCAUUUCCUAGACGAGAAAAGCGAGGAGUGAAGAAAUCACCUGUCUCACCAAGGUUCACAACAGCUAGUGAACUAGGAUAAUGGACCCUUGUCUGGCCCCAAAAUUGCAAGCUCUUAAACUCUUCAAAAUUUCACCAACAUAGGAUUCACAUUAAAAAUAAGUAAAUCCCUGCAGGCCUUCAAAGUGAUACAGAGGAGAAGCCUCUUGGGGUCUUGGAGGAAAGGAAAUGGCAUUUGUGUAUUGCCCCUCUGUGAUACCAAACUCUGAGCACAGAAUGCCGAGACAGCGGUGGUAUGGAGGCACAAAGGUUGCAUGUAGACAUACGAUUCUGGUUCUGCCCCUGACCAGCCAGGUGACCCUGAACAAGCCACUUCACCCCGAGGCCUAAGUUUAUUUUUUAAGUGGAGUGUGACAUGGAGGUCAGAGUUUGGUUGAAUUACUUCAUCUCUGAGGUCUUUCCCGGUUCUGACCUUGAAUGAAUGUAUGGUCCUCCAGGCAGACCGCAUGCCUAUGGAGGAAGCUAAGUGAUAAAGCCAGGAUGUCUCGGGGAGAGAACUGUUUUCACACUGCCUUCGGAAUCAGAAUGAAUGUGGGGGGUGUUGCGGGGUGUUCACAGGCAAAAUACACACAUACACACACACACACACACACACACACAACCCACACACUAAGAUUUAGCACUAAGCCUGCAGACUCCAUUUAAAUAAUUUUACUUCUAAAAAUUAAAAAAAAAUAUUAUUUAGAAACCCAUGAAGUACAUCCGACCAGCCAUAUUUCUGUCUUUAGAAUAGAUCACAGAAAAUCAAUACAUAAGAAUAUUUUUUUAAUGUUUAUUUUUGAGAGAGAGAGAGAGCGUGAGUGGGGAAGGGGCAGAGAGAGGGAGACAGGAUCUGAAGUAGACGCCAGGAUCUGAGCUUUCAGCACAGAGCCCUCCACGGGGCUCAAACUCAUGAACUGUGAGAUCAUAACCUAAGCUGAAACCAGACGCUCAACCCACUGAGCCACCCAGGCACCCCAGAAUAUUUUUUAAAUAGAAAGUCCAAUGUGAAGUGAAAAAAAGCCUUUCAUUCUUUGAAUAACUAUAGAAAAGCUAGUCACAUGCUACUUUUAAAAAAGAAAAAAAAAAACCAAAACACUUCCUAAAUCUGCAUCACACUCAAAUCUCCUUAAUAUGCAUCAGAAUGAACAGGAUAGUUGAUAGCACAGGUCCCAAAUACAUCCUGACAGGUUUACUUGAAAACUCUGCAAUUUUAGGAACUUGUCAAUAUUAAAUAUCCCCCCAAAUAUUUCAACUUGUUCUAAACCUGAUUCAAACUCUAAAUACAGGCAGAAUUUCAUGGGCCCUCAUGAUUCUUCCUAUCUUCAAUUUUUCCUCCCAUUAAUUUAUUAAUUGUACACCUUCAGAAACAUUGAAAUCACUCAAAGCAAAACAAAACAAGUUCCUCAAUCAAAGCGGACAGGAAAGUAAGCAAACUUUUGCGGGAAAACGCUUAUGAUCUCCAGCGUUCUUCCACAAAUGUUAAAGUCCUAUAUAUUAUUCAUGUAUUUGUUUUUAUCCUAAAAGAAUAUUUGGAAGCUGAUAGUAAUGGUGGGAAAUAAUAAUGGGGAGCUUUUUAAAAAUACAUAAUGCUGGUCUGUAUCCCCUGCUCCCCAUAUUUCAUUCAUCUUAGUCCCUGAGUUCAGGGUGGAGGCUUGGGUCGGUGUAUGUGUGUAACUGUCAUAUUUUUAGACAGUAUCUGAUUGAGAACAUUUUCACAUUCAAUAAAAAGCACGACCUUCAUUGUAUGUACAGUAUGAUGAUUUUUUUUUAUAUGGAUGCAUCCAUGGGACCACCGUCCAGACCAAGAUACAGAAAAUGUCCAUCACCACAAAAAUUUCCCUUGUGUGACCUCUCAGUCUAUAUUACCUCUCCAGGCUAACUUCUGUCACUAUAGAGUAGUUUUGCUAGUUCUCAAACUUCAUAUGACUGGAAUUACACUGUGUGUGUGUGUAUAUGUGUGUGUACAUAUCACUUUGCUUAUCCAUUCUCCUGUUGAUGUUUUUGAAAACAUUUCCGAAGUAAUUCUGUUAUACCACCCCCCUUUAAUUCAGAACCACUGACUUAACAGCACAAAUAUAACAAAAUAAGUCUAGAUUAUUAACACAAAAACAUGUUAAGCAUGAGAAGGGAAGAAAGAGAACACUUUGGAAGGAUGAAAUUUAAGAGUGCUUUAAUCGUUGUGUGCAUUCAGAGCUCCUUAUUAAUGAAAACAAAUUCGCGAAUUGACUACAAUAUGAACUUCUUGUUAUCUGGUGAUUUUUUUUUUUAAAGCUACUUGAUUCUGCAGAGUUGUUGUGUACAGCCACGAGUAUAGUACCCAAUGCCACUCCAUGAGCUAAAAUAGUCUGGAGUGUGAAUGGCAUUCUCUGGAGUUGUGCAAUGUGGUGACCAGGGCACUAUGCAUUCUCCCUUUAGAGAUAGUUUCAUGGUACCUGCUUUGGAAGAAUCAUUUCUGACGCAGAAGACUGAGCCCUUCUUCCCUCCUGGUUGCAUCUUUGAGGCUUUUCAUUUGAGUAAGAGAAGGGCCCCCAUCCCAGCCUUUCCCAAGGUUGACUAAGCCAGGAAGUCACAUUCUUCUCAAAUAUUGGGAAAAUGAUGAAAGACUUACGGAGGCACAGAUUAGAUGAAAGAGUACACUGUUUAUUUGGGUUUGCUCUGUAGUCUGGAGGUUUGGCAUUACCUGCAUCCUUUCAUGUCACACAGUGUCUCCAUUUCGUCAUGUGUCCUAAUGUUUCAACUCUCCCACUCCUGACGCAUCCUCCUCUCUGGCCAUUGCCUCUCCAUUUCAUUUCUCUUUCCUUUGCCCAUUCUUCAGCAGAAGGCGCUCUGCCUCCCACAGGGACUGACUACUCCCUGACCUGAGCCAAAGGAGAAAGAGCCCCCAUUUCCAUGCCAGUCAACCUAAGCCACAAGUGAAUUAUUUCCUUGUUACUUCCUUCUGGAAAGAAUGUCAAACACAAACACUUUGAGGUUGUAUUUUUUUCAGGCUAGGAGGAGAAAGGUGAAUCAGUGUCCUGAGACACUUUGCCAGCUCUUCUGGCAGCUACAGUUGACCACUGGGCAAUGAUAUCAGCUAGCUAUCUGGACAUCAGGCAGACUCACUCUAGGCACAUCACUAGUUUUUCCAAUGAAAAUGUACAUGAUUCAGCCAAUUGGUUACUCUUUAAAAAGUCUGUGCACUAGCAGUAUGUAUUAAUCAAGAACACUCUAGAAAGAGUAAUGCACCUGCAUAAUUGGUACUUUCAGCAAGAUUUAAAGGAAAUUAAACCUAGGCAGUAUUAAGUAUCUCACCAAUUUCAAUGUAUUCAUUAUCCGUCUGUACUAAUUUCACCUUGGGUUGCAAACACCCUUUGAAUCAUACCUUAAAGGCACAAGCUCUCUGAUCGUAUUCACCUGGCUCACCUUUCCUCACCUCCCUCAGCCCCAACAUUGCCUUCCAGCUUUUCCAGGCUUGAUAGAAAACACACAACUUCUCUCCCAACACACUGGCAUAUGCACACACACAUCAAAUCACCACGUCCUCUGUAGGGCACACUGCUAGUGAUGAGCUUACCCCAUCAUUACUGCUUAAAAUCAUGUGUUUUCCGGAAAAGGAGGCUUUUACUGCUCCCGUAAUCUCUUCUAGGAGACCUUCUUCAUUUUGAUUUAACCAAUUUUAAACUUUGUAAUGGAAUUGAAUCAUUAACAAACCGUUUUCCAUAGUCACUUAUCUAUGGUUGUUAAUCUCAAAAACAUCCUCUAAUGUUGAGUGCAACAGAUCUAAUAGGCCAGGGCCACCGUCUUAACAUAAGUUCCCUUGGUUUAAGAACAAAACCCCACUUCAGACUGUUAAAGCAAAAAAGGAAUUCAUUGGCAAGAUACUGAAACAUGUCAUGGAAUCCGUGAGAAAGAAGGGCAAGACCAAAGAACCGUGAGGAUACUCUGCUUUUCUGUCUGGAGGCUGGUUUCUGUCCUUCAGCAGGGACUGAAUCUCAUAUCCAAAUUCUCAGAAGAACGUGGCUUGAGAUGUCAAACCAGGGUGUUGGAGAAGGAACAGGCUGCUGUGGCUGGACCCAGCCCUUCGUGUGGAAAGGACAGUUCCCAGAAUGGAGACAGUAGCUGGGAAAAGGAGGCCUGCAACUGGAAACCACACCGAUGAGGGAAGGGAGAAAUUUUUUACCAAACUCAAGUCUUGGGAAUCCCUCUGUUCACUCUGUAACUAUCUAUUCCAUCUAUGCAAAGGGCCAAAUCCAGUUUCUCAUGUGUAGAGAAGAAAGCGACCCACUAGGGAGGAGGAAGAGAUACUAGAGCCCUUCUUUCUGUGCAUGCACAGAGGAAAGGCCACAUGAGGACAUAGCAAGAAAGAAGGAGAGAGGUCUCGCCAGAAAUUAACCCUGACAGCACCUUAACCUUGGACUUCCAGCCUCCAGCACUUCCCUGAGACGCCCAUGAGUUGAUGUUCUCACCUGCGUGGAGUCAGAAGUGGCAAGUCAGGUCCAUGGUUCCUCCGGCACACAAGAGGUUGCUUUGGACUGGCACGAAGUCACGCCUUCUGGGAGUGUCGAGUCAUUUCUGUUUGUGACAGCCAUCUCAGAAGUUCUGGGCUUGCUUUUUUAAAUACAAUCUAAACACCUAGAAGAAGUUGUCGGCAAGUGAUAAUGCAAACUGUGCUACCAGAUUUAUGGAGGUGAGAAAUGGACAGCCUUCCAGACGGAUUACAAAUCCAGAGAUGACUGGAAAGGAAAACAAGAACAGGGUGCAUUGGUUUCUGACAUGGGCAGCUGUGGCCAGAACACCCGUGCUCUGAGAGCUCUCAGAAUCUGCCCUCUGAGCCCAUCCUUGCCCCUUCCGGAUAUCGAGCUGCCUUGAUUAGGAAAAUGCACCCGUGGAAAGGGGCAGACAUCUAGCAAGACUGUGCUUCUCCAGGUAUUUUCCACUAAAUGGAAUCUGGCUCCUUAGAGAAAUGGUGGACUCCAGGUCUGAGGAAAGAAAUAUACAAGAAAGCUAUCAAAAGAACACUAGAGUCAUCAUCAAAGGAUUCAGGAACCACCUUGAAGAGACUCUCAGUGGCUAAAGAUGGGUCCAUUUUAGCGUCUAGAAGGAUGAUAAUGGCAAUUAGUUGUAACAUUUCAACUGUUUGUCAAAUGAUAUGAGAAAAAUAAUUAGUCACCACUAAAACCAACUCAUCAUUUUGAAAAAUGAUAAACAGAGGGACGGAAAGAAACCGUCUUGUUUUCGCUAAGAAAUUAUACCACUGAAAAUCAAGUAGCAGAUGAGGAGGUAUUUUUCAUUAUAGAAAUAUCCUAGAUAACAAAUAGAAGGGAUGAUAAAAUUAGAAUACCAUCAUUUUGCCACCUUGGAUAAAGCAGGAUCAAGGCAUGAGCUUCAGUGGUUGCUAACAUCACAAAAAGAGACACUAAACUAUCACUAUCUUGCUUUGAAAGAGAUAACCUGAAUCUGACCAAACUGCUAGAAUAGAUUAAGCUACCAGCUAUCAAUUACAAAAAAAACACAAGAGCCCAGGAAUAUGUUCACACAGACCUCAAGAGAAGCAGUCAG